CUGCUGUGUGCACAGUAAGAAAUCUCAGACUGUCUGUGGGAGUGCUGCCGUGAGUCACAUGUCAGUUCACUCCUUCCUCAGUUUAGACGAGAUUAACUUGUCAAACAACUGGUCCUUUGCCAGUCUGCUCUUUCCAAGUGGAUCUGGGACUCUUGAUCCUUUCUUGGACUGAUAGUCGAGGCUUAACAGAACGCAGGGCCAGCGAGAAGCGGGAAAUAAUCGGCUGCGGAUUUAAGACCACUUUACCUGGAUUCAGUGGUGCAGGAUGGCGGGAUUAGCUGCUUGGGUCUGGCGGCAUACGAGUCUGUUUAGCUCAAGACGGAUAAAGAGAUGGAGACAGACGGAUACAAAACGAGCAUUGUAAUGGUCUUUGGCUGGAUGUGCGAUGAUCUCCACAUCUCUUGAUAAAAUGGAAGAAAGUGAAGUCCAGGUUUACACGUUCUUCCAUUACAGGCGCCAUGAGACAGACUCCACAUCAAAGUCGGGAAAGAAAAAGCACUCCCCAGCCGACCUGUUACAACACACACCUGAGACCCUGCAGGGAGACGUUUCUCUUAGCUGUGUCUGCAGCAGCGCCUUUGCCACCCAAAGCUUGGAGACAGUUUUAAUUGCAACACGACGACCACAAGAAAAGCCCAGAAUCCCCAUAAAAGCACAGCAAAAGCUGGCU